GUGGGGAAUUUUGCGCAAUGGGCUAACGCCUGACGCAGCAACGCCGCGUGGAGGAUGAAGGUCUUUGGAUUGUAAACUCCUGUCAGCAGGGAAAAAGCAACUCAACCUCAUACGUUGAGAAGUUGAUUGUACCUGCAGAGGAAGCCCCGGCUAACUCUGUGCCAGCAGCCGCGGUAAUACAGAGGGGGCAAGCGUUAUUCGGAAUUAUUGGGCGUAAAGGGCGCGUAGGCGGCCUGGCAAGUGGAAGGUGAAAUCCCUCGGCUUAACCGAGGAACUGCCUCCCAAACUGCUUGGCUUGAGACCAGGAGAGGUGAGUGGAAUUCCCAGUGUAGCGGUGAAAUGCGUAGAUAUUGGGAGGAACACCAGUGGCGAAGGCGGCUCACUGGACUGGUACUGACGCUGAGGCGCGAAAGCGUGGGGAGCAAACGGGAUUAGAAACCCGUGUAGUCC
rnacentral:rRNA from 1 species